UCUUAUAAUCCACAGGUUUUACUCUUAGAGUGGCAGCAAUGGCGAUGGACAAAAUUCGUCUGGCUUGCCUUGGGCUUGUUGCCAUGUUUGUGUUGCUCGUGAUUAUGGGAGUGGACGUGGGAGGAAUCGCAAACGCUGCUGCCCAGCGCUGCAAGUCGGGGUGGUAUUGGUAUGACAAUGGUUGCCACCGUUGCCCGAGGGGGCGCAAAAAUCGCUGCUGAAGCCUCUGCUUUUAAGGGGGUCUGGAAACAAGAAUAAAAAGACACCGGACUGGUAACAUGUUUGUGUGGAACAAAUAAAAUAUAUUUUUGUUUU